AACGAACGCUGGCGGCAGGCUUAACACAUGCAAGUCGAGCGCAUCCUUCGGGGUGAGCGGCGGACGGGUGAGUAACGCGUGGGAACGUGCCCUCUUCUACGGAAUAGCCUCGGGAAACUGAGAGUAAUGCCGUAUACGCCCGCAAGGGGAAAGAUUUAUCGGAGGAGGAUCGGCCCGCGUUGGAUUAGGUAGUUGGUGGGGUAACGGCCUACCAAGCCGACGAUCCAUAGCUGGUUUGAGAGGAUGAUCAGCCACACUGGGACUGAGACACGGCCCAGACUCCUACGGGAGGCAGCAGUGAGGAAUCUUGGACAAUGGGGGCAACCCUGAUCCAGCCAUGCCGCGUGAUCGAUGAAGGCCUUAGGGUUGUAAAGAUCUUUCAGCUGGGAAGAUAAUGACGGUACCAGCAGAAGAAGCCCCGGCUAACUCCGUG
rnacentral:rRNA from 1 species